GCAUAGCGCAGUCCGGUAGCGCGUCUGGUUUGGGACCAGAAAGUCGCGGGUUCGAAUCCCGCUGC
rnacentral:tRNA from 1 species